rnacentral:lncRNA from 10 species
GAUGAAGACUUUCCCCUGAAGGUUAUUUCUAAUGGAGUUCUGCUGGAGUGGAGCUGAGAGAGGCUCUUGGGAGCUGCCUGCGUGGGCAGAGUUUGAAGGCUUAGGAUAUCUCCUGAAGGCCGGAUGGGCCAGUAGAGAUUAACGAGGCUUGAGCUGUCUUGAAAGAUGGCUGCCCUGAGAACUGGCUAGAAGAGGAGACCAAGGAGGCUGUGUGGGUCACCCUUGCAUUGGAGAUGAGGGGAGUCGUGAGAGAUCAGUGGGGAGCCCAUUGCCCUGUUGGGGAACUGCCUGGUGGAGCUUUCCCAGGGAUAUUUUAAAGAACCUACAUGGGAGAAAGCCUGCAUUUGGACAUCUUCCAGGCCAUUCAAUAGCCAAAGAGAACCACCAACAGCUUGAAUCAAAAAAAAGGCCCUCAAAAUAGGCUGAAUGAAAAGAGGUGUGAUCGAUGAAAACUGGCCGCUCCUUCUUUGCAACUCCUUCCAUUAGGUGGUGGAGUCUACGUUGCCCUCCCUUUGAUCCAGGCUGGCCACACAAAUUACUUUCACCAACAGAAUGCUGUAGAAGUGAUACUGCAUGACCUCUGAGCCCAGGCCUUAAGGGACUUUGCAGCUUCUGUUCUUGGCCUCUGGCUGCUCUGUGACUACCAUGGAAGGAGUUCCACACUAACCUCCUGUAGGGUAAGAGACACGUGGAGGCAGACUGAGCCUCCCAGCCAUCCCACUGAGGCUCCAGGCGUGCCAGUGAUGUACCUGGCUGAAGCCUGGCCCCCAGUCACCCACUGACGGCAGCUGCAAAGGUGCCCGUGAUGAGGAUAAGAUAUCACUGGCCAGGGACCACUUCUCUGAAA